rnacentral:rRNA from 1 species
GCCAACAGCCAUAUCACCCUGCAGCUCUCAACUGUCUACCCACUGGCUACCCACUGAAGCUAAGCAGGUUGAGCCUGGUCAGUACCUGUAUGGGAGAACCUCUUGGGAAGCUGUGGUUGCUGCUGGAA